rnacentral:rRNA from 1 species
GAUGAACGCUGGCGGCGUGCUUAACACAUGCAAGUCGAACGAAGCACUUUAUUUGAUUUCCUUCGGGACUGAUUAUUUUGUGACUGAGUGGCGGACGGGUGAGUAACGCGUGGGUAACCUGCCUUGUACAGGGGGAUAACAGUUGGAAACGGCUGCUAAUACCGCAUAAGCGCACAGCAUCGCAUGAUGCAGUGUGAAAAACUCCGGUGGUAUAAGAUGGACCCGCGUUGGAUUAGCUAGUUGGUGAGGUAACGGCCCACCAAGGCGACGAUCCAUAGCCGACCUGUGAGAGUGAGCGGACACACCGGGACUGAGACACGGCCCAAACUCCUACGGGAUGCAGCAGUGGGGAAUAGUGCACAAUGGGCGAAAGCCUGAUGCAGCGACGCCGCGUGAGCGAAGAAGUAUUUCGGUAUGUAAAGCUCUAUCAGCAGGGAAGAUAAUGACGGUACCUGACUAGGAAGCACCGGCUAAAUACGUG